rnacentral:rRNA from 1 species
UACGUAGGUGGCAAGCGUUGUCCGGAAUUACUGGGCGUAAAGGGCGCGUAGGCGGCCUUCUAAGUCGGACGUGAAAGCCCCAGGCUUAACCUGGGAACUGCGUCCGAUACUGGGAGGCUUGGAUUCGGGAGAGGGAUGUGGAAUUCCAGGUGUAGCGGUGAAAUGCGUAGAUAUCUGGAGGAACACCGGUGGCGAAGGCGGCAUCCUGGACCGAGAUCGACGCUGAGGCGCGAAAGCUAGGGGAGCAAACGGG